rnacentral:lncRNA from 1 species
GUUUUUUUCGCACAGAACCCUAGCUCAGGCAUUCCCCAAAUUAGUUGUUUCGAACCAUAGCUAAAGGAGGUUGUCUCCUUCGUUCGCACAGGCAGUGGCAGACCCUUCAUUCGCAUAGAAGCGCUUCGUUGGAGGGUUUGUUCAAGGCUAAACGUUCUUCAUCUCCCCUUCAAUCGUCGACCAAAAGCCCUAAUUCUCUCUCCCCUGCCAAUCGUUUCCUCAGCGCAUUCAGGAUACAAAAACCCUAAUUCUUCCCACGCAUUGUCGUCCUUCAUUCAAGCGUGGUACCAGGGGUCGUCUCUUUGGCUUAUUUUACUCAAUCAUAAAAAAGGGUUUCGUUUAUGCUCCUGAGGCGACCUCCCCCUUCUUUUUCUUGACCAAAGCGACCACCGUUUCUGCUCCUGAGGCGAAUGGCUGCAACUGGGCGAACCUCCACCACCAAACGCGAAGUGCUCUCGAGGCGUUCUCCAUUUCUGUCGUGCAACGUGGUCUCCAUUUCGAUUUCUCUCGCGAGUUGGCCAUAGUUGUCUUCUUCGUGCAUCCACCGCCGUGCCGCCACAGUUCGUCCCCCUCCUUCGCCUUCAUUGUCUCCGACGAAGCGCUGUCCAAGUUGGGUGGCUCUAUUUCUCGCGCGAACUGCAGGAGUAUUCUCUCCAAGCGUUGCUUUUGCCAUCGUUCCUGUGUCGCUCCACCGCCGCUCCGCUGCCUUUGCCUUUGUCCUUUGCUACCACGGUAACCCUGACUUUUCCUUUUUAUGUACUUUUGUUCCAUGUUUUUAUGCUAAUCUAGAACUAUAAUUUGGUUGGUUCUGUGGCUGCAAGGUUCUAAUUUCUUCCCAGGGGGAUCAAUUUUAGACACACUUCCUAAUCCUUUUUUGUGGUCAAAUAAAAGAAAGUCAAAUGUUGGCUGGAUUAGUAGAUCGCCUCGACCACAAUGGGGAGCUGUGCCUCAAAUCCAAAUAGAAAAGCCAAUGGUCACAAGAGAAGAAAACACAAGUUCG